UGUUGAGGGACAAAAAGGUGCAGCGCUAUGUCUUCGGUGCCAGGAUAUUUCUUGUCUUCUGGUUCUAUCCUCAAUCGCUGGUACACUA
rnacentral:snoRNA from 2 species